GGGGGUGUAGCUCAGUGGUAGAAUGCCUGUCUAGCAUGCACAAGACCCUGGGUUCAAUUCCCAGCACUGCAA
rnacentral:tRNA from 1 species